rnacentral:rRNA from 1 species
AUUGAACGCUGGCGGCAGGCCUAACACAUGCAAGUCGAACGGUAACAGGAAACAGCUUGCUGUUUCGCUGACGAGUGGCGGACGGGUGAGUAAUGUCUGGGAAACUGCCUGAUGGAGGGGGAUAACUACUGGAAACGGUAGCUAAUACCGCAUAACGUCGCAAGACCAAAGAGGGGGACCUUCGGGCCUCUUGCCAUCGGAUGUGCCCAGAUGGGAUUAGCUAGUAGGUGGGGUAACGGCUCACCUAGGCGACGAUCCCUAGCUGGUCUGAGAGGAUGACCAGCCACACUGGAACUGAGACACGGUCCAGACUCCUACGGGAGGCAGCAGUGGGGAAUAUUGCACAAAGGGCGCAAGCCUGAUGCAGCCAUGCCGCGUGUAUGAAGGAGGCCUUCGGGUUGUAAAGUACUUUCAGCGGGGAGGAAGGGAGUAAAGUUAAUACCUUUACUCAUUGACGUUACCCGCAGAAGAAGCACCGGCUAACUCCGUG